UACGUAGGGUGCGAGCGUUAAUCGGAAUUACUGGGCGUAAAGCGUGCGUAGGCGGUUCGUCAAGUCUGAUGUGAAAGCCCCGGGCUCAACCUGGGAACUGCAUUGGAAACUAGCGAGCUUGAGUGUGGCAGAGGGGGGUGGAAUUCCACGUGUAGCAGUGAAAUGCGUAGAGAUGUGGAGGAACACCGAUGGCGAAGGCAGCCCCCUGGGUCAAGAUUGACGCUCAUGCACGAAAGCGUGGGGAGCAAACAGG
rnacentral:rRNA from 1 species